AGGGAGUUAAAAGACCGGUUCCUCAAUCUCAUAACCUUUUAAGAGACGGGCUCCACUUGACUUAAAAAUGUGGACCAAUGCUGUCCCCACCACGUAGGUAACACAUCUUUGUUUCACAUCCUCUGGAGGAGUAAGUCUGGAAAGGAUGGGGCAGCCAGAAAAGAACUGAGGUAAUCCAAAAGAAAGUAUUUGGGGACUUCCAGAAGAUUCUCGAGCCAACAAAAAUAUACCCCAAUGCCAAAGCGCUCCCUCACUAAAGUCAACAUGUGAAAAUGUGAAUAUUAUUUUGGAUGCCGUUGUGCUAACCCACGUGUGUUAAGGGGCGAGAUGAUGACGGUUCCCAGCCAGGAUGUUACAAUACAGGUUGUGAGACGUGGUCAACACCUGGAUAUCUUUGCCUGUGGCGGUCACGCUGCUGGAGGACAAAGAUGACCAGAAAUCGUCCCUGAGCUCAAAGAAGUACUCAUGCUUUGUAGCAGUUAUCAAAACCGUGAUUACUUAUUGUCCAUGGCAUUUCAGAAUACUCUAUCAUCUUCGUGGUUCAAAUAACAAAGGUUAUGAGUAAUAAAGGAUCAUCCUCAACAUCUACAACAGAAAGGCACAGGAGGGGGCCUACCAAUCCAAAAGCAUGCCGUCCGCUGCAUCCUUGUCCGCUAUCCGUCUUGCUCAUAAUUCACAAUCAUCACGACGAGUACUGUGAACUCACUGGAUCCCGCACAGAGUGCGCUGGAAACUGAGCAAAACCCCAUCACCUUGGAAGGGUAGGUUGGUGUCCCGAGCAGGAGAUAACACGGUGCACUUUAUCAGGUCAUGGGUCAUGGUUAAAGUGAUUUUCUCAGGACUGGCC